rnacentral:lncRNA from 1 species
GGCAAGCCAAUACUAUUAAAAGGGGGCGAGGUAUUAAAAUGAACUCGUUUCUCAAGUGCUCAGAGUUAGCCACCAAAAAUAUUCAGUCAUUUUCCCACAUAACACUUCUGUCCUAAGCUUAAUAUCCAAAAUUGGCGCCACCCAAUUUUCAGAAUGGGCCCUACCAAUUUUCAGCCCAAACAGAACCCUAGCCAAACCUACCAUUUUUGUACAACCGAUUAUG